UUCUCAAACACAAACUUAGCAUCUAAAUGAACCUUAGAGCAGCCUCCCUAGCCGAGUCCUCCUUCUUCAAUGUUCUUCUCUGAAGAACAUGAAGAACACCAGCCAAGAAUUAAUCACAACCCAGAAAUCUCCUAGCCAAGUUCACACUAGACCCCUUAAACUGAGCCACCUUAUUCGUGGUUCUUCUCUGAAGAACACGAAGAACACAACCCAACCCGAUGAACAAAAACCCAGAAAAAGCAAACAGAAAAUAAUUAAAACACAACAAUAAAAAUGCAAAAAAGAGAAGGAAGAAAUAACACCGGUUUUUAUAGAGGUUCCCCAAAAUCGUUCUGGGUACGUCCUCUUCGAGCUUGCCUCGUUCACUAUGGAUCUUCAAUGAUCAAAUGAUUGCAAUGGGUUUGGAUUCCAAAACACACAGGUAUUAAUUUUGGUAAUCCGAAUAUUUUACAGUGAUUUUCUCCUCUUUGUCUCUCUAUUUUUCCUCUCUAAAUCAGUACUAACAAUGUUGUGUUUCUUCUCUUCUUUUGCAUGAACAACACCCUGGCUAUUGGAUAUCUGAACCACCACCUUGGUUGCAAAGCUUACUCCAUUGUACACAUAAGUAGAAAUUUCUAGGCUGAUUGAAGAUCUUUUCAGGAAAGUUUUUGUGAGUUGUAGUCUUAUUCAGACCGUGUAUGCAUUGUGUGUAUAUUGAUUAUAAAUACAUGUUAUAGCAUGUGGGUUUAGUAUAUUUUUCACAUCUUGGUAUUUUACUCAUAUUUUGUAAGAAAGAGAGUCUUUGUUAUGUAGAGGAGAGGGUGUUUCUCUUUCUUUGUGUUUAUGUACUUUAUAUUGUAUUGAGUCUAUAAUAAAGACUAUAAAAGAAGUAGAACAAUAGUGCUACCUUCCGGAGAAGGUUCUACAAAUUUUCGGGAGAUAACUUUUCAAGUCUUAACUCAGGUUGAAGCAAGCACCCUUCAAGGAAAUUGAAGGGAGUUCGAACACUUGAAGUUUCAGUAAGAUUCAGUUAGAAUGUGGAAUACAUCAAUAAUUGAGGCAUACAAUAAGAGGAAAUUUAUUUAUGCAUAAGUCAAUUAUUUUGUAUUUUUGAGACCUAUAUAAUGAAUUUUAUCUUUGGGCAUGGGCCCAUAGA